GAGUAAGGGACUUUGAGUAUCCCAGGCUCAAAAAGUUGGGACUUGAACAGUACGGGGGUGCUGCUGAAAACGUUUGAGGGAGGUAAUGACAUGAUCGAAGCUAUACUUGAGAAAGGUGAAUCUGAUAAAGUAUGAGUGAAAAAGAGACUGAAGGUCUAGAAAUUAGAUUGAGGCUAAUGACAAAAUCCACAUAAAUAGGAGGACUUGAACGAAGGGGCACUUAGAAGAGGACAGGAGAUAGUAAAAGGCAUUCAAUGAUGAGAGCACACACUACAGGGGAGCAUGAGGGAGGUUGGAAAAGAUAAUGAAAGGAUUACCGAG
rnacentral:lncRNA from 1 species